rnacentral:rRNA from 1 species
CAUGUGGAGCGCUUAGAAGUGAGAAUGCCGGUGUGAGUAGCGAAAGACGGGUGAGAAUCCCGUCCACCGAUUGACUAAGGUUUCCAGAGGAAGGCUCGUCCGCUCUGGGUUAGUCGGGUCCUAAGCUGAGGCCGACAGGCGUAGGCGAUGGAUAACAGGUUGAUAUUCCUGUACCACCUAUAAUCGUUUUAAUCGAUGGGGGGACGCAGUAGGAUAGGCGAAGCGUGCGAUUGGAUUGCACGUCUAAGCAGUAAGGCUGAGUAUUAGGCAAAUCCGGUACUCGUUAAGGCUGAGCUGUGAUGGGGAGAAGACAUUGUGUCUUCGAGUCGUUGAUUUCACACUGCCGAGAAAAGCCUCUAGAUAGAAAAUAGGUGCCCGUACCGCAAACCGACACAGGUAGUCAAGAUGAGAAUUCUAAGGUGAGCGAGCGAACUCUCGUUAAGGAACUCGGCAAAAUGACCCCGUAACUUCGGGAGAAGGGGUGCUCUUUAGGGUUAACGCCCAGAAGAGCCGCAGUGAAUAGGCCCAAGCGACUGUUUAUCAAAAACACAGGUCUCUGCUAAACCGUAAGGUGAUGUAUAGGGGCUGACGCCUGCCCGGUGCUGGAAGGUUAAGAGGAGUGGUUAGCUUCUGCGAAGCUACGAAUCGAAGCCCCAGUAAACGGCGGCCGUAACUAUAACGGUCCUAAGGUAGCGAAAUUCCUUGUCGGGUAAGUUCCGACCCGCACGAAAGGCGUAACGAUUUGGGCACUGUCUCAACGAGAGACUCGGUGAAAUCAUAGUACCUGUGAAGAUGCAGGUUACCCGCGACAGGACGGAAAGACCCCGUGGAGCUUUACUGUAGCCUGAUAUUGAAAUUCGGCACAGCUUGUACAGGAUAGGUAGGAGCCUUUGAAACGUGAGCGCUAGCUUACGUGGAGGCGCUGGUGGGAUACUACCCUAGCUGUGUUGGCUUUCUAACCCGCACCACUUAUCGUGGUGGGAGACAGUGUCAGGCGGGCAGUUUGACUGGGGCGGUCGCCUCCUAAAAGG